rnacentral:siRNA from 1 species
UUAGGUCUCAGAUUCAUCCUCUGC